UACGUAGGGACCAAGCGUUGUUCGGAUUUACUGGGCGUAAAGGGCGCGUAGGCGGCGAAUCAAGUCAGCUGUGAAAUCUCCGAGCUUAACUCGGAACGGUCAGCUGAUACUGUUUUGCUAGAGUGCAGAAAGGGCAACCGGAAUUCUUGGUGUAGCGGUGGAAUGCGCAGAUAUCAGGAGGAACACCGAUGGCGAAGGCAGGUCUCUGGGCCACUACUGACGCUGAGAAGCGAAAGCAUGGGGAGCGAACAGG
rnacentral:rRNA from 1 species